GAUUGAUCAAUUCUGAAAAAAUUUUGUCAUUAAUGACAGAAAAGGUUGAAGGAAUUGCAUAUCCUGGCCAAACACAAUCUGAAUGCGUAACUGCCUGUGGUACAGCUGUAGCUAUAACAGGACUUACAUUGGCUCGAUUAUGUCCAUUAGUUUGUCAUUCUGUUCUCAGUAAACUGAAAUAGACACCGGAAAGGAAAAAGAAGCAUUUUCUGAUUAAAACCAGUUACAGUUA